AUAUAAAAUGAUGAUAUUUUACCGCCCCAGUCUGAUUUUGGUGACUGAUUGGAUAAUCUGAAUUG